CCCAGAGGUAUUGAUAGGUGAAGUCAACCUGAGGGUUGAACACUUGAUUACACCAACCUGCGCAGAUGUGCAGGUUUUUUUU
rnacentral:sRNA from 1 species